UAUAUAUUAGUAUAAAUAUUUAAUACAUUUAAUUUCCAAUUAAAAAAUUUUUUUUAUAAAAAUAUAUAA
rnacentral:tRNA from 1 species